CAAAACGUAACUUAACUAAAGUACCUCGCUUACACCGAGAACAUAUCUGUUCAACCCAGAUCGUUUUGAG
rnacentral:tRNA from 1 species